rnacentral:rRNA from 1 species
UGGGGAAUUUUGGACAAUGGGCGAAAGCCUGAUCCAGCAAUGCCGCGUGUGUGAAGAAGGCCUUCGGGUUGUAAAGCACUUUUGUCCGGAAAGAAAUCCUUGGCUCUAAUACAGUCGGGGGAUGACGGUACCGGAAGAAUAAGCACCGGCUAACUACGUGCCAGCAGCCGCGGUAAUACGUAGGGUGCAAGCGUUAAUCGGAAUUACUGGGCGUAAAGCGUGCGCAGGCGGUUUGCUAAGACCGAUGUGAAAUCCCCGGGCUCAACCUGGGAACUGCAUUGGUGACUGGCAGGCUAGAGUAUGGCAGAGGGGGGUAGAAUUCCACGUGUAGCAGUGAAAUGCGUAGAGAUGUGGAGGAAUACCGAUGGCGAAGGCAGCCCCCUGGGCCAAUACUGACGCUCAUGCACGAAAGCGUGGGGAGCAAACAGGAUUAGAUACCCUGGUAGUCCACGCCCUAAACGAUGUCAACUAGUUGUUGGGGAUUCAUUUCCUUAGUAACGUAGCUAACGCGUGAAGUUGACCGCCUGGGGG